ACUAUAAUCCUACAGAUUACAGUCGGUUGUUUUACAAGCUCACAACCCAACUUGUUGUUUUACGAGGUCACAACGAACUCGGUCGGUUUUCCCAGGCUCACCGACUAGAACCACUCCGAUUGUUUUUCCGGGAUCACAAUCAAACCCUUACACGUUGGUUUUACCCUCGGCUCACCAACAAACCUAAAACCCCAUUGGUUUUCCCUUUGGCUCAC
rnacentral:lncRNA from 1 species